UCGAGAAUUUUUCACAAUGGGGGAAACCCUGAUGGAGCGACGCCGCGUGGAGGAUGAAGGUUUUCGGAUUGUAAACUCCUGUCACUGCAGAACAAGGGUGUGUUCGUUAAUAGCGAACGCAUUUGAUGGUAUGCGGAGAGGAAGGGACGGCUAACUCUGUGCCAGCAGCCGCGGUAAGACAGAGGUCCCGAGCGUUGUUCGGAUUCAUUGGGCGUAAAGGGUGUGUAGGAGGUAGGGUAAGUCAGGUGUGAAAUCUCAGAGCUUAACUCUGAAACUGCGCUUGAUACUGCUCUGCUAGAGGAUCGGAGGGGGUAUCGGAAUUUAUGGUGUAGCAGUGAAAUGCGUAGAUAUCAUAAGGAACACCGGUGGCGAAGGCGGAUACCUGGAAGAUUCCUGACUCUGAAACACGAAAGCCAGGGGAGCAAACGGGAUUAGAUACCCCUGUAGUCC
rnacentral:rRNA from 1 species